GGGCGUAUAACUCAGUGGUUAGAGUGCCAUGUUCACAUCAUGGAAGUCAUAGGUUCGAAUCCUAUUACGCCCA
rnacentral:tRNA from 1 species